rfam:Rhodobacter aestuarii strain DSM 19945 genome assembly, contig: Ga0111637_103
AAGUCAGGAACGGGAGACACUGGCCGCAAGGUCAGGGCCGAAGGAGCAACCGCCCCGGUAAACUCUCAGGCAAAAGGACCGGUCUGACAAA